rnacentral:rRNA from 1 species
UACGUAGGGUGCGAGCGUUAAUCGGAAUUACUGGGCGUAAAGUGUGCGCAGGCGGCGUCGCAAGUCGAGUGUGAAAUCCCCGAGCUUAACUUGGGAAUUGCGCUCGAAACUACGGUGCUCGAGUAUGGCAGAGGAAGGUGGAAUUCCACGUGUAGCGGUGAAAUGCGUAGAGAUGUGGAGGAACACCGAUGGCGAAGGCAGCCUUCUGGGCCAAUACUGACGCUCAUGCACGAAAGCGUGGGGAGCAAACAGG